AGGAUGAACGCUGGCGGCGUGCUUAACACAUGCAAGUCGAACGAUGAUCCCAGCUUGCUGGGGGAUUAGUGGCGAACGGGUGAGUAACACGUGAGUAACCUGCCCUUAACUCUGGGAUAAGCCCGGGAAACUGGGUCUAAUACCGGAUAUGACUCCUCAUCGCAUGGUGGGGGGUGGAAAGCUUUAUUGUGGUUUUGGAUGGACUCGCGGCCUAUCAGCUUGUUGGUGAGGUAAUGGCUCACCAAGGCGGCGACGGGUAGCCGGCCUGAGAGGGUGACCGGCCACACUGGGACUGAGACACGGCCCAGACUCCUACGGGAGGCAGCAGUGGGGAAUAUUGCACAAUGGGCGAAAGCCUGAUGCAGCGACGCCGCGUGAGGGAUGACGGCCUGGUUGUAACCUACUUUCAGUAGGAAGAAGACGAAAGUAGACGGUACCUGCAGAAGAAAGACGCCGGCUAACGUACGUAGCCACGCAGCCGC
rnacentral:rRNA from 1 species